rnacentral:lncRNA from 1 species
AUUCAAGCAGGGGGACUAUGGAGGGAUGCUGCUUAUCAGUGCGCUCCCUCUGGCUUGCUCAGAUACCUUUCCUACCCAGCCCAGACUUACCUGCCUAGGGACGGCACUGCCCACAGUAGUGGGCCACUCCAUCAGUUAACAAUCAAACAUAGCCCACAAACAUAGCCACAAGCUAAUAUGAUGGAGACAGUUCUUUAGCUGAGGCUUUUCUUCCCAAGUUUGUCAAGUCGACAAUCAAGACUAGCCAUCCCAUCCUGGUUUUGGAUAACUUUUUGAGGAGAAAUAGCAAAUGAACCUGAUUUGAUGGAACUUACAUCCCUCUGGGCCAGCGAGGGUGCACAUCUGAGAAUGUCCAAGAGAACCAGGCUCCUGUGACAGGACUGUCCAAGUGAGGUGUUGAGGGUCCAGCACAGAGUUCUGGGGGUGCAGUUUCCUAAGCACAGUCCCGGCAUUGGUGGGUACCAACAUCUCCUUUCAUCACUCAGCAUGGUCCCGCACUGAUGGGUACCAACAUCUCCUGUCCCCCAGGAUGCUAAGCAGAUUACAUCACUGAACGCCAGAAAUGAUGACAAAGGUCAUCUCUAUGCCUAGACCUGUCAGACCCACUCGGGUCUCUGGUGACAAACGAUGAAUCGGGUCCCUCUGCUGUGUGACGUUCUUUCCUGCAUCUGAGGACAUCUGUCAUUGCUCUCCCCAUCCUGUUCUGGAGAGUAAGGUGUGGGCUUCUAAUCCUCCCACACAUGUGUCUGCCAUAGGCGGAUCCAUUUCUUUUGGACUGAUGCUAUGCAACAUGCUUGGUGGGGGCUGAGACACCAAAGCCUUCCCAGACCAGAGAGGCAGGCCAGACGAUAGUGCCUGACACCCAAGCUUAUCUGCUGGUGUAUGCAGAGCUGGAAUCCAGCUGUUGAGGCCGGGCACUUGCUCCGCCAACAAUUAGCUGAGCUUUGGAACAUCAACACCCAGACCACCCCCUUUUCUAAAGUGACAGUCACCCAGAGCUCAGGGCAGUACUAUUUAUCUGGCCAUUGAAUGGAGGUGGCCGGUGUCUUUGCUCCUGAAUGGGGCUGGCAAACUGCUGCUGGCUGGGGGCUGGAACAAAGCAGGCACCCGACUCUGACAUUUCUAAAUGGUUGGUAGAAAAUCUAGAGAGAGGGCAUCUUUCAUGACUCAUAGAAUUACAUAAAAUUCAAAUGUGUGUCUGUAAGUGAGAUUUUGCUAACAGCCACACUCGCUUGUCUCAGCUCGGUCUGUUAAAACAAAAUACCAGACAUGAGGAGGCUUACACAAUGGACAUUUCCUUCUCACGGGUCUGGAGGCCACAAGGCCAAGAUCAAGGUGCUAGCAGGCUCAGAUCCCCAGCAAGGCUCUUCUUGGCUCAGAGUUGGCUGUCUGAUCUUUGUGCUGGGCCAUCAUAAGGCAGAGCAAAGCGGCGGCCUCUUAGCUUUGUGAAGACGUGGACUUCAACAAGGGGCUCAAUUUCUCAGGGCCCUGGAUUCUGAUCUCCCCCCAAGACCUUGUUCCUUAACACUGAAGGGUAGGGCUUCAACAUGUGGCCUGGAGGAGGACAAAAGCAUUCAGCCUGGGUAACUGUCUCUGCUGUCGGUUUUUCACACAAUGGCAGAUUGAUCUGACGAUCUGGACUAAUAAUGAACUGCACCUCAAGGACCCCAGCAUCAGCCUGUCUGCAGCCACCGAGACUGUACUGCCAGCAAGCCUAAGGUGUUUUAUAAUCUGCCAGUUACAGAGAACAAUACGCAGAUCCUUGGCUCAGAGGUUAGAACACGGCUAUCCAGGAAGGCAGGGACUGGGGAAAUGACUUAGUUGGUAAAACGCUUGCUGUGUAAGCAUGGGGAGACAAGAGACAGACACAAAGAGAGACAGAGACAAAGAGACAGACACACAUGGAGGGCUGUGCCUCCCCUGCAGACACCAUGACUCCUGCCUGAUCUGCUUCUUACAUCCCCACCCCUCAUUAUUUCUGGCCUCUAACCCCACAUACCUGUCCUAGUUUGUGGGUUCUAACACCUGGACCUGUCUGUGGUCACUGAGGACAGAUGACAGACAGGUGCCCCUCUGCCCUGUCUCCAUGCACUCUUGGCCACUGGGUUCCGUUCCUCCCGCGCACUCGGCUGAGUCUUCAGCGUUUGCCGCCUUCCCAGCCAUUCUGGGUGGUUCUGCUGUGUCUUCCUCGUAAGAGAUCACAGGCUCUUCUCCUGGGGAUUUGAUCUGCUAAUCCACUUUAAUAUCCAGUACUGAAGGCAAACCCAUUUCAGUGGUGGCGUGACAGGUGGCAUGUAGCCUGUCCCCAUUCAUAACCUCACUCUGGAGUGAAGGCAAACCCAAAAAGGUUCGGGCGAUUCCGGGCUGGCUUCUGCUAUGGUCUCCUGAAAGGAUCCUCACUUCACAGCCCAGUUACCCAAGAGGACAACUUGGGGAUAUCGCCACUGUCCACACUUUACACAAUUCUAUCACACGGAAUCUACACGUUGACAGGGUAUCAGCAUAUUGCAGGGAAAGGGUCCCCAGAAGAAGUGAGGUUCCUUCCACCCACAGCCAGCCUUGUUUCAUACCAUCCAACCUACUCUCCACUCUUAGAUCUUAGGAGAACAGAGUGGGGAGGAGGGCACGAGGAUCUAGGGGACCCUGCUGGAAUCCUGGGCACCAAUGGGGGGUCCUCUUUGUUCUAACAGUUGAAGCUGUCCAUAGGUGACGGAUGAGCACUCUAGCUGGGGUACGUGUUUCUCAGUAUGCAGGGAUCUGAGGUUGAUCACAUGGCUGUCUUGUGCAAAGAUAAUCUCUGCACCAGAGCAACCUAAUUCCUGCAGACUCCUCUAAAGCCCAGAGCUAACACUGGUGUAAUAAACACCACACUCCACACCAACAAAUACCACCUUUGUCCUUAUUAGCACAUGGGACUUUCCCCAGGGUGCGGGGCGCAUGAGCAAAGCAUUUCUGGGUCUAUAGAGGGUGGAUCAGCAAACCGUGUGCCAUGAAAGCUCGAGGGCUUGAAUCUGGGUCCCCAGCAUCCACACAAACAGCCGGAUAUGGCUCUGUGUGUGUUCAACAAGAGACUCUGUUUCAAAUAUAUAUUUGAAAUUAAGGAAGACACUUGAUAUCGAUCGGCUUCUGGUCUCCACACGGAUAAUCACACGUGUGUAAUUGUAUGUCCCUGACUCCCCACCCCCCAAUGAAUUCAAUACCCAUCUCUGGCAAGAAGUGUGGAAAAGCCCGCAGGACAGGGCAGAACUCCAACAAUUUAGGGAUUUGCUGCUUGUCAGUUUCUGGGGGCACAAAAGCAACCAGAGACUGUGUGUAAAGGGAGAGAUGUGGCCGUGUGCUGAUAAAACUCAUUUACAAAAAUAGGCGGUGGGCUGUAAUCUGCAGAUGCUGAUUGCAAUGUCUGUCUGUCUGUCUGUCUUUAUCUACCAAGCUGGGUGUGGUGGUGCACACCUUUAAUCCCAGCACUCAGGAGACACAGGCAGGUGGAUCUCUGUGAGUUCGAGGCCAGCCUCGUCUACAUAGUGAGAGUUCCAGGACAGCCAGGACUACAUAGCGAAACUCUGUCUUAAAAACACAAAGACCAAAACCCAACCAAACAAUCCCCCAAAUGCCAGGCACCACCCAUGAUGAUGAGAUUAAGGCAGGUGUGUAGACCCUCAUGUUCUCUGUGCUCGGCAUUCUGACCACCAUGUAGCUGGGGGCUGCACACAUUGGGGGGGGGCUGCCCAGUUCUUCUAUGGGGGAUAUUCUGAGUCUGGAAAGGGGACCCCUCAAGGUCAAAGAAGAAGGGUUCUGGCCAGACAACCCUUUGUGCUGAUGUCUGAGUCGCUACCCUUGCUGCUUGGCUGGGUCACGGGAUGAGGACAGCAUGGUGGGGACCCCCCAACUCAGAGCUGUUUUCACUUUGCCAUCAAUUCUACUCUACCAAAGGACUGCAGUCCCGAUGAAUCUCUUCCGGAGUGAACGCUGCUGUAGCGCCAUCUUCCCAGCUUCCCUCCGUGCCACUGCUCAUCUGCAGAGGCUCAGAGCUGAGGACAGCUGGCCGUGCGACGCAGGCUGCUGCCUUUGAUGCUGCACUAUUUUUGGAGACUCUCUUUGCCUCAUUUAUUUUUGAUUUGAGUUGCUCACACAGACUGUGUGUUCUCAUUCUCCCUCUUGCACCGAGUUAAAUGCAUGUAGUAUUUUUAAACCCAGAUUGUGUCACCUCGUGAUUAGCAGAGAUGAGCCACGCACCCAGACAGCGCUGGCCAAGACGGGGGCCUCCUGGUUCAGCCCUUGGCGUUGGGUGAUCUCACUAUUCUGAGUGCUGAGGUAGGGCCGUCCUGGGAAGGAAAGACUGGGUCUUGUGGACCAAGGCCCUGCACUGAGAACCAUACUGUGAGUGGCUGGGGUCCAGGAACAUGUCAGCGACGUUCUCCAAGAACCACAGUGGAAGGAUGGAAAGGUACCUUCCAGAUUGCAGCCCUGGAUCAGGUCCCUGUAGUGAUGGGUGUCAGAGCGGUUGGUGACUUGGGAUGGUCCUGGUGAGGCCUUGGGAAGGGAUUUAUAGAUAUUCCUGCCAUCAGCUGUUACCAUCACUAGACACAGAUGACAAUUAUGGAAACUGAGGUUUCAAGAGGCAAAGCUAGCCUGCCCCUGCCACUGGGUGAAUAGCAGAUCUGGAAAUCUCCUCAAAAUUAGAGUCCUGGGCCAUCCCCAGCAGAGCAUCCUCAUUACAGGGGAGCCUGAGUCCUUCCAGGAGGUGAGCCAUUUGUCAAGCGACUGGGAGACUCCAGGUGUGAGUGGGAGGCUUGGGUCAGGAGGAGAGAUGGGAUGGAUGACUCUGUGCUGAUGAACUUGGGGCCUCAGAGUUAGCCCAUGCGUCCAUGCGGGGUGUGAGGGAAGGUAAGAGAGCAGGUGGGUUCGGGACGCUGGUGGCUGGGUGCAGCCCGAGUGCUCCUUGGACAUCUGGGAGGGAGCAUGACGGUGUUCCUAGUCAUGGUGCUUCCCUCUCUUCUGCUGCAGCGCCUUUGUGGGACUCCCUUCCAUGCUCUUCCUUGGGGUCUCUCAUCAACUGACACCUGUCCCGAGGGCUCUGUCUGUCAUGCAGUUUCGCACGUUUUCUGUCACGCAUGCACUUCAGCCCGCGAGCAGCGCUCACUUCGGUGUCCACCCAGAGUAUGACCCGGGGCGCGUCUCAUUUCCUGCUUAGCUCCUUCAGACCUCGCGACAGGGCCUAAGCCUGGCCAGCGUCCUGCAUGCCCCUGCCCAAUGCGUGCAGUUCACCUCUUUGUUGUGGACAAGCGGCUCUUUGCUUACAGAUAACACAGGUGUCAGCAUGGGGCCCAGGGUUAGCAGAGGCAGCUGCACAGGCCCCAGGCUUUCAGUUUCUGGCUCAGCCAGGUCUAUGGUCCUCCACCAAGACGAUGUUGGCUCCUGAAACCUGCAUGAGGUACUAAGGUUCUAGUGGCAACGCCGCGACACACGUG